GAUUUUUUUUUUUUAGAACAUAUGACAAGUUAUAUGAAUAAUAUAUGCGAAGUUAAACACAACCCAAGAAGGACCCUUGAGCCAAAUCAAAGUGAAAGCCCUCCAAAAUAAUAUUUUUAAGAUACGUUUUCGGGUGAUUUGAUUUCGGGAGGUCAUAACCUUAUCGUCCUUUGGGAAUUUGGGAAAACUCCCAGAAUGAAAGUUGUAGAUAAUUGAAAUAGCUUUCCAACCAUAGGUCGUGGGUCUUCAUGUGACAUCGGGAUAAGGAGAUAUGAACAUUUUAAGGCAGAAAGGUCAAGCUGGGCAAUGAAUUCGGCCCAACCCGAUUCCAAGUCGGGUCAGCCCAUUUUCUUUGCCAUUUAAUGAAAAAAUUCGGCCUUCUCUUUCAUUUUCAGACCUCAAAAAAACCCAGAAAUUUCAGAGGUAGAGAGAGAGAGGAGAGAUAGAGAAAGAAACCAAAUUUUGACCACAAUCUAAGCCCCGAAUCGCGAAGCUCCUGAAGAGAAAAGUGUUGUACGUCGCGUUGCCUUCAAUUUGAGCUAAAAAUCAGCCAAGAAAGAGAGGGUGGAAGUGGUUGCUGCAUAAUUAAGGUAACGACGUGACAUUGGAGGAGAGCAAGUGAACGAUAACAUAGCUAAACGACAAAGGUAGACAGGAAGGUGAGCUUGGUCCAGACCCUUAGUAGCUGUCAACUGAUCGAAAGCACUCCAUUGUCCGGAGGUGCUUAUGGUUCUUCUUUUGGUAUAUAUGCAUAUUUUGGGCAUGACGGAGUCUUGUUCCGUCUAUAUGUUUAGUAUGUCAGUAGAGGCUCGUAGAUACGCAGUGUGGGUCAGAUGGUCUCGCAAGAUGUUAUUAUUAUGUAUAUGUUAUUUUGAUGGCCGAGAGGCAAAUGUAUAUAAGUAUUUAUGUUUUUAUAUAAAAUAUGAUUUUCCUACAA